rnacentral:rRNA from 1 species
UGAAUACGAGAUGCUACGGCGUCGAAGCAGUCUAUGUCAUACUUCCAAGAAAAGCUCGCACUGUCAUAAACAAAUAAUGCCUGUACCAUAACCGACACAGGUGGGUAGGUAGAGUAUACUAAGGGGCGCGAGAUAACUCUCUCUAAGGAACUCGGCAAAAUGACUCCGUAACUUCGGGAGAAGGAGUGCCUUAUUUAUAAGGUUGCAAUAACAAGAUCCAAGCAACUGUUUAUCAAAAACACAGGUCUCCGCUAAGUCGUAAGACGAUGUAUGGGGGCUGACGCCUGCCCAGUGCCAGAAGGUUAAAGAAGUUGGUUAGCAUUCGCGAAGCUGAUAACUGAAGCCCUGGUGAACGGCGGCCGUAACAAUAACGGUCCUAAGGUAGCGAAAUUCCUUGUCGGGUAAGUUCCGACCCGCACGAAAGGCGUAAUGAUUUGGAUACUGUCUCGGAGAGGGGCUCGGUGAAAUAGACUUGUCUGUGAAGAUGCGGACUACCUGCACCAGGACAGAAAGACCCUAUGAAGCUUUACUGUAACUUGAGAUUGAAAUUGGACUUUACUUGCGCAGUAUAGGUGGGAGGCGUUGAUAAUACUCUUGCGGGAUUAUUUGAGCCAUCAGUGAGAUACCACUCUUGUAAUGUUAGAUUUCUAACUUUGUAUCAUUAUCUGGUCAAAGGACAGUUUCAGGCGGGCAGUUUGACUGGGGCGGUCGCCUCCUAAACGGUAACGGAGGCGCACAAAGGUUUCCUCUGAACGGGUAGAAAUCGUAUCUAGAGUGUAAAGGCAUAAGGAAGCUUGACUGUGAGACCUACAAGUCGAGCAGGGACGAAAGUCGGUCUUAGUGAUCUGACGGUGCUGAGUGGAAAGGCCGUCACUCAACGGAUAAAAGUUACUCUAGGAUAACAGGCUGAUCUCCCCCAAGAGUUCACAUCGACGGGGAGGUUUGGCACCUCGAUGUCGGCUCAUCGCAUCCUGGGGCGGUAGUACGUCCCAAGGGUUGGGCUGUUCGCCCAUGAAAGCGGUACGCGAGCUGGGUUCAGAACGUCGUGAGACAGUUCGGUCCAUAUCCGGUGUAGGCGUUAGAAUAUUGAGAGGAGCCUUCUUUAGUACGAGAGGACCGAGAAGGACAUACCUCUGGUGUACCAGUUAUCGUGCCAACGGUAAACGCUGGGUAGCUAUGUAUGGAGUGGAUAACCGCUGAAAGCAUCUAAGUGGGAAGCCCACCUCAAGAUAAG